rnacentral:pre_miRNA from 1 species
UAUAAUUUUUAACUCUUCGUCUUAUUCAAUUUUUUUUCGAUGGAUAUUUUUAUUUUUAUUAGAUGAUAAAUCAUGAAUAGUACUUUACGUGUCACUAAUUUUUUCUAAUUUUAUAAAAAAAAAUUCAAAUAAUACGGACGAUCAAACGUUGGACACGGAAACCAAAG